CAAGACCUUGCGCUUUAGGAGCGGCCGAUGUCUGAUUAGCUAGUUGGUGAGGUAAAGGCUUACCAAGGCGUCGAUCAGUAGCUGUUCUGAGGGGACGACCAUCCACACUGGGACUGAGACACGGCCCAGACUCCUACGGGAGGCAGCAGUGGAGAAUUUUGGACAAUGGGGGAAACCCUGAUCCAGCCAUGCCGCGUGAGUGAAGAAGGCCAUCGGGUUGUAAAGCUCUUUCAGCCGGAACGAAACGGUCACGGUUAAUACCCGUGACAACUGACGGUACCGGAAGAAGAAGCACCGGCUAACUACGUGCCAGCAGCCGCGGUAAUACGUAGGGUGCGAGCGUUAAUCGGAAUUACUGGGCGUAAAGCGUGCGCAGGCGGCUUUGUAAGUCAGAUGUGAAAUCCCCGGGCUUAACCUGGGAACU
rnacentral:rRNA from 1 species